UAAUUUUGUUUAGCCUGCAGGGGGAUAUGAACACAGAAAUCCUACGUAACUGGCUAAAGCUCAAUUUCGUUUCAUACUUUCAUUUUAACCAACCUUGUCCCCAGGGCCUUCCUCAUUAGGGCGAGGAAGGCCCUGGGCCAAGGUUGCAUUUAGGCUUUUUGAAAAAUUAGUAGUUUGGCCUCUUUUGGUAAAAUUUGGCCUCAUUUUAUACAGUGUUUGGCUCUGAGCAUGCCCUGAGACCUGGCAACCCUGAGCGGCACAACACAGUAACGAGAUCAGUUCACAUCGAUAAGCAAACUUUAUCGUUUCAUAUAAACAAUGAUCACUAAACCUUGAACAAGUCUACAGAGAGAUCAAUGUUACAAACUUUGGUCGUGAUUAUUGCCUAUUUAACUUUCGUAUGUUUACAAAAUGGUAGCGAGAAAUCUAUUUGUCACAACGAGCAAUGUUAAUAAAUAUACCAAGCGAAGUAAGCACAUGCACGCGUUACUAUGCGUUGUUAUGUUCGCUAUUUGCAAACACCUACGAUCAUUAAACGAUCAUUAGCGAUAAGAUGCGUACAACAUGUACAUCAUAGUAGGGACAUUGAAAGAUAAUACCGGGCUAUUAUAAGCGUGGACACAGAGCGCGGAUAUAAAAUAGGCAAAAGCACGUGCACAUGAUUUCAUUUUUAGAACACAUUUAUUUCUUUAAGUACCACAAAGUUAAUAUUUCUUAUCUGUAUAAAUAUAUUAUCCACUUAA